rnacentral:lncRNA from 1 species
UUCGUAACUUCGAUGAUCGUUGAUGAUAUCUCUAAAAAAGGAUAGAUAGAACACUCUUAAAAUUUAAACCCCGAAACCUUUUCCCAGUGUUUUUUCCUGAAUGUGAUAAUGGGUGUUAAAUCCUCUUAUGUAUUCUGUGGGACCACCUUGAGCAUGAAGUAUAAUCUUUUUGAUUGCUAUUUAUGGUUUUUUAUGGUGAAUGAUCAGUUACACUAAGUUUAAAGAUCCAAUGUAGCGCCUUAACCCUUUUCUCUUUAUUUCGAUACAUGUUAAUUCAUUGGAGUCCAAAUAGAAUCUUUGCAUUCCCUAAUGGGCCAAUAAGGCCCAUCCAUUGAAUCGAGCUCGGAAGAGAGUAUAAUGUAGCAUAGCAUACGAAUGAGAGUCGUUGAAGGAAGAAUAAAGUAGAUCAGAGUUUCAUCUUUGAAGCAGCUAUGAGAUUCGAAAGUCUCAUUUAUUAUUUUGUCCAUUUACUUAUUGCCAUCUUUAUUUAUUUAUUUAUUUUCUUAUUUACGCAUUUGGGCCUCAAGCCAAAGUUGUACUUAAUACAGGUGAAGCGGGACUCGAGCUAAAGGCUCAAAAACAUAGAAUUAGGACAGGUGAAAAUGGGUCGACAACCCAACUAGAUUAGGACAGGGUCGACGGUUUGGGCUUAAAAGUCUAAAUCACUACUUCCCCGUUUUUCCCCUUUUCCUUUCAUUUACUUGUUUGCUUGUCUCUUUGUGAACCUAGUUAAAUCCCUAACUAAGUCGCUAAAAAACUGAUUUCGCGAAAACCUUUUCCUUAACCAAUUACUUUUUCAACAAACCGAUCUUCCAAAGUUAGUCAAAAGACGUUUUCAAACAGUCUAGAUAACCGCAAGUUAGCGGACGUUUUAGGUGCCUAACACCUUCCUAAAACGUUAAUAGGAACCACUUAAUCGGAAUCUUCAAAACUUAAAAUGAUUUUUCUAUUUUGAAUCGUUUGAAUUAACUCUCUAAAGGUUUCUUAAUUCCUUUUCAAAAUUAAGUGGCGACUCUCAAAAAGUCAAAAUUUCUACAAAACAGAAAUGGCGACUCUGGUGGGGAAUUUUUGAACUAGGUUCUAACCAAAUGUUUGAUUUCGUCUUUUGAUUAACUAUUUAUGUGUUUAUAUGUUUCGAUUCUAUAAAUAUUAAACUAUCGCAUCUCAUGGCAUAUUCCUGCAUUAUUUAAACUGUUUCGAGGUUUCGUGGAUGUCUCAUCCCCUGUUGUUCAAUUUCAAAAUGUGUUGGAAAUACGAACGACUUAUUAGCACAUGAGUCGUCUGACGCUGUUCAUAUUUUCAAACUCAAGUUGUCCGCUUGAGAACCAGUGUUCAAACCCACUCUAGACACCGAGGAUAGAACAAAACCAAAACCCUAUUUUAGGCAUGAGCCUAGGAUGACCCAAUACCCGAGCGGGGUAUUGGGCCCAUUAGAAAACCUGCCCUGCGUCUAUUGACCCUGAGUCAAUUACAGACGAAUCAUAUUUAUGUGUUGAAAAAAUACAUGCUUGUCUAAUUCAAUCUACUAUCCUUUGGGGUCGGGGGAAGGCUUAUCUUUGUCUGCUUUCAUAUAAGAUAUGGCUCAACUACAUUCCUAUGAAAAGUUCAAGAUGGUUACUAAACCUGAUAAUUUCUUGAAACUAUGGUGGGACAACAUGAGCGCAGAAGAGAAAAAGAUUGUAAGAACACACAUUAGGCAUCUUCCUUCUUUGAUCGAGAUAGACGCUUGGCCCGAAAUGAUCCAUGUAGUAACAACUUUUUGGGAUGAUCAGAAUAUGGUAUUUCGCUUUGGGGAUGUUGAAUUGACUCCUAUCAUUGAAGAGUUAUUGAUUUGUUACGAGAGUAUGGAAAUAUGUUUUAAGAGAAGGGAGAUGCCUGAUAAGAACAUUUUACUCCCGGUUAUGUGGGAUCGUCAAAAGAUCGAGGUAUUUUUAACUGACGACGACACCUGGCUAGGAGAACGUGAUGGAGCAAAUAUCACUUUUUGUGAGUUGUAUCGUUGGUUCGGAAGAUUCAAUGCUUUUCACAAAUUUGGGCAUAAAUAUGAGUCAAAAGCAAAAUGGAAGGAGACGAGAGCCUUUGCGUUUGCGGUAGGCCUACUUGGAACCAUGACGUUCCCACAAAGGGAUAAUGGCACAAUUCAUCCGAGGGUUGUCUCAGUGACCCAUGAACUCUUCUUUGGAAUGGAGUACAAUUCUAAAAAGGUAUUCCACAACUUAGCUCCCAUGAUUUUUGCCGACAUAUAUCAAGCUUUGGGAAGCGGUCAAAUCGAGAAUCAUUUCUUUCAAGGCUGUAACCUUAUAUUACAAUGGAGGAUGAUGAUGCAUUUGGUGAAAAAUCGUAGAAUGGCACGACCCGACCACAAAACAAGGUGGAAUCUGCUAGAAUCGCAUAUCAUGUGGUUGUUUUUACACAAAUUCAAAAGGGAAGCAUCUCAUGAAUUUUGGUUUAAGACUCUUGGAGAAUUAAGAGAUGAUGAUGUCCAAUGGUCCAUUAACUAUCUUCGUUCAGGGAAAUACAUUAUUCGAGGAGGCGAGUGGCCUUUUUUAGUGAUUUUGGGUCUCAGGGGAACCCAUCCCUACAAUCCUGGCAGAGUUCUUAGGCAAUUCGAGAUCAAGCAGGAGACGCCUCAAAUCGAUUCUAUGCUCAGAUUCUUCACCGAAUAUGAUGAAAGCGAGCCCCCGCUCAAAGACUACAUGAUAAAUGAAUGGAGAAGGAGAUGGUGGACAGAAGUCUCUUUCCGUAUAGGGUAUGAACCUGAAGUCAGCGAUACUUACAAGGAGUGGUUAAAAAAGAGCCUUCCUGGAGCAUUGAUUCCGGGGCCGAACGUGCCCACUCGGGUAGUGGAUGUAGAAUCCGAGCAUCAAAUCCGACUCCACAGGCUUCAGGAUAAGUUUCAGAAAAAUGAAAUCGCGUACCGACAGAUGUAUGUAGAAGAUGCUUUAACAAUACAUAUGUUGAGAGAAGAGUUAAAAAGAGCUAGGCAAAAGGCUGAUGAUGCUAGGCAGUGUUUAAUCAAUUUGGAUGAUAGCAUGGCCUCUUAACUCGAUAGUAUAGGAAAAAUGACUUACGACAGCAAGGCACAGUUAUGCGGGAGUCAUCUGAUCAUCAAUACGUAUCAAAUAUCACAGGAGGUGAACAAGGAAAAGAAGGAAAAGGCAGACGAAGGAGCCUCCGGUAGCUAGUUUUUCUAUUUCCCCUGCGCGGGAACUUAUUUUCUUUCAUAUUAUUUCCCUGUUUCCCUGAAGAUUGUAUCUCCCUUUUGUUAUCUUUUGUAGGCAUUUAUGCCGUUUUUCGUGUCUACAUAAGUUGGGGGAUAAUGGAUUGACUUUAAGAAAACAUAUAUUUUCUUCAAAAUCGUUAGGCCUGAACCCUUAGCUCAAGUAGGGCCACCCCAGUUAGGAUACGCAUUAUUAUAAUGUUGUGUAAUAUAAUUAUCUUAUGCGCUUAUGUGUGUUUCUUUGGAUCAAAGGCAAGUUUAUCCGCUAUACUCCUAUGGGUAAAUUUGGCUAUGACUCAAACAACUCUACGUGGUUAUUUUUUGUCAAAUAUUUUGCAUUACUCAUCACAUACGGAAACUAACACAUCUGCCUUUAAGUUGUUUUACUUUACAGAUAAUAGAAACUACUCCGUGUUGAUAUAAGAUGGCAGGACAUCCCUACUUCACCCAGUCAAAAGCGCACAAAAUCCCAUCCCCUGACCAUCUUUCAAUAAUGACCGAAAAUAAUGAAGAAAAUGCAUUGACCAUCAGGGAAAAUCUAAUCGCGAAAUAGAGUGAGAUGAUUGCGGAAUUUGCAAGAAAGCUUGAAAUGCUUCAGGAGGAAAUAAAUCGUACUCGAGAUUUGGCUCACCUGGCCAUCAAUGUUAAUGCUCCCGCUCUAGGAGGACACGGGACUCCACUCCAAAUCCCUUCCCUCAGUACGCCUAUUCUCGGGGAUCAUCCAAAUAACAUAUUGUCUGUCUUUGCCCUUCCACUUUUCCAAAAUACCAAUCUUGAAAAUAACCUAGAUGCCUACCAUCCACAAAAUCCAUCUCUAACACCACAAAACCCAUCUUCGAAUCCAUUCCCAAAUCCCCAGAACCCAUUUGCAAAUCAAAAAAAUUCAUGUCCAAAUCCACAAGAUUCACUACCAAAUCCACAAAAUCCAUCCCCGAAUCUUCUAUUGAAUCUAUCCCAGAAUCUACAAAAUUCGUUUCCAAAUUCGUAAAAUCCUUCUCAGAUGCCACCAAACUACUCGCAAAUUCCACAAAACCUUUUUAUAUUUCAAAACGUCCUCCCCACCUAUCAACCAACUUUCUUUCAUCCAAAAAAUCAAGAAUCCCUUCCAAAUCCCCCUCAUGCCAUCAUAUCCCCCGACAUCUAUAAUCCCCUUCCUAAUCUUGAGAUGGACCAUUAUGAAGAGAAGGAGAAAGAGUGGAGGACCGAGCAUGAAAUGAAGUUGCUAGCUAUGAAUGAAGAAAUCAUGAGGAUUAAAGAAUCUCAUGGAGCGAGGGACCACGAUUGUUUAGGGUACGAUGACUUAUGCGUUCACCGUGGUGUAGAUCUACCAGAAGGGUACAAGGUCCCCAAGUUUGAAAUGUUUGAGGGUGCCAGAAAUCCAAUGACCCAUCUGAGGAGGUACUGCGAGCAACUGGUGGGGAUCGGGAAAAAUGAGGCGUUACUGAUGCGCCUAUUCAGAUAAAGUUUAAGCGGUGAAGCCUUAGAGUGGUUCAUGUCUCAGCAGCCGAAAAUAUGGACUGGUUGGAAAGCAUUGGCCGAGGGUUUCCUCGACAGGUUCGCAUUCAACAUUGAAAUAGUCCCGGACCAGUAUUCACUAGAUCGAAUCAAAUAGAAGACUGAUGCGAGUUUUCGAGACUAUGCUUUUCAUUAGAGGAAGGAAGCUGCCAAAGUACAACUCCCCAUGUCCGAGGAAGAAAUGGUAUCUGUAUUCUCUCGCGCUCAAGAAGGAGAAUAUUAUACCAGGAUGGUGUCUGCUAUCAGGGUGACUUUUGUAGAUUUGGUAAAAAUAAGCGAAUCAUUGGAAGAAGGUAUUCAGACAAGAAAAAUUACCAAAACCCCGACAUCGUCCGGGACUGCCAUGUUCUCGAAGAAGAAAAAGGAAGAUGUAGGCACAACUUCUGCUAGUUCUGUUGCCAAAAAAAAAAAGAGGUUCAACUCUUGGAAUGCUUUCUCUUCUCCGUCAUGACCAGACCUUUAGCAUGUGUUCUACGCCCACCCCCAAUACCAAGCUCUACUUUCAAAUGUCCAACCUCAGUACCAAACUCCACUCCCAAAUAUCCAAUCUCAGUACCAAACUCCACUCCCAAAUAUACAAUCCUAAUACCAAGCUCCACAGCCAAAUAUCUUUCCCCAAUACCAAGUUCCACCUCCAAAUUAUCAGUCUCAUGUCCAAUCCACUCUUUUAAAUAACCAAACAAAUAUCCAAGCACCUCUAAAUUAUCAUCAAGUACCUCCUCCUGCAAACCAAAGCCACUAUAACCCCCCACGUCCAAACUACGAAAAAAAACCUCUCGGAAACUUCACACCACUAGCUGAAAGUCGCACUCAAUUGUUUGAAAGACUGAAGAAUGUCAGUCGUUUGCAACUGAUACAGUCAAAGUAUGUCAAUCCCAACUCCCGAUUUUAUCAUCCUGAUCAAAAUUAUGCCUAUCAUUCAGGAGUAGCAGUGCACAGUAUCGAGGAGUGUAUUACCUUGAAACAUAAGAUCCAAGAUCUGAUUGAUCAAAAGGUCAUCACGCUUCAGUCACCAAUGCCAAAUGUCAACAGUAACCCAUUGCCUAACAUGGGGGACCUACAGUUAACAUGAUUGAGAUAAAAGAAGAAUGGACGUCUUGCAAGACUAUUACUAAGGUGAAUUCAGAAAAGUGCAAAAGGGUGGAAGAGGUAGAAAAGAUAGAGAGAGCUGUGGCUGCCUUAAGUGUCAAUGAGAAAGCCCCAUUUAUAGUGAUGACGACCCCGAUCCAAGUGUACACUCCCCCGCCAAGGAAGGAAUUUAUUAUACAGACUGCUACUGCCCAAAGGAUGACACGAUCGGGACGAUGAUACAUUCCUGAAGAAUUGAUCAACAAAAAAGAUUCACAGAAAAGAAGGGGAGGCUGAGGAAUUUUGGAGGCGUAUGCAACCAAAAGACAAUUCAAUUGUCAAACAUUUAGAGAAGACUCCAGCCUAAAUUUCCAUUUUGGCAUUAUUAAUGAAUUCGCAAUACCACCGACAAGAUCUAUCAAAGGUCUUGGAUGAAGCGUAUGUUCCCGCAGGAAUGAGUGUUAAGAACUUGGCUGCAAUGAUAGAAAAUAUUGUGGGGAAUCAUCGCAUAUCAUUCAGUGAUGAAGAGUUGUCGUUUGAGGGAGCGAUGCACAACAAAGCCUUGUAUGUCACUGUCAUUUGCCAAGACUAUACGAUUAAUCAGGUAUUGAUAGAUGACGGAUCUGGUAUGAACAUUUAUACUCUCUCCAUGUUGGUUAAAAUGGGCAAUGAUUUGGGAAAAAAUCAUCAAAGCCACGUAAAUGUGAGAGCAUUUGAUGGAGGGCAGAGAGAUACCAUAGGAGAAAUUGAUUUGUACAUCCAAAUGGGACAUGCUGAGUUCAAAAUUAAGUUUCAUGUUAUGGAUAUUUAUCCUAGCUACAACCUGCUGUUGGGAAGACCAUGGAUACAUGGUGCAAAGGCCAUUUCAUUACCCCUUCAUCAACUAUUGAAUUUCAUUUAGGAGGAUCAUAAAGUAGUCAUCCAAGGGGAAAGAAGCCGAGCGGAUCAUCCCAAUGAUUAUGUGUCGGUGAUUGGAGAUAUUCCAUAGGGUAGUAGUUUCUAUACGAUGGAAAUUGUAAAUACUGUGGAGAAGAAUCUAAUGCUCAAAGCGCCAAUGCCUUCUCUCUACAAAAUGAUUGCGACGGUGAUGAUAAAAAAUGGAUUCGAGCCUGGUCGGAGUUUGGGUAAGAGUCUACAAGGAAUUAUUGAGCCUAUUAUGAUCCCAGAGAAGGCCUCUAAGUAUGGGUUAGGAUAUCGGCCUACAAAGGAGGAUGAGAUUGAGAAUGAGUCAGAGGCGAGUCUGUUUAGGCCCUUACCGCUCCUGUACCAGUCAUUUCCCGUACGUGAGAUGUCAAAUGAUGAUGGUCUUGGGGAUGGGAUAGGAAAUCUGUUCGAGGAAUGCAGUGCUAUACCAAAAGAUUUCCUAAUGUCCAGUGGGGUGAAUAAGAUUGCACCAGGGGAGUCCUUGCAAAACUGGACCUCCACUCCAUUCAUAACUCGUCACCCAUCGUGGUAGAUGAAAGGGCAAUUACUAAUAGUUUUUUAAAAUCAGUGAUGAUCUGGAUGAGGCCCUGCAAUCCAUCCUUUACAUCUCAAAUUUCCUUUUUGUAUUUUACUGCUUUCAAAAGGCAUGAGCUUGUGUUUGCACGAGUCAUGAGCCAUAUUUUAUAAUUAUCUCUCAAAUUUUAAUAAAAAGGCCUUCCCUUAUUUUGAAUAAAAUAAAAUAAAUAAAUAAUAAUAAAAAAUUAUUUUUCUAAACACCACUAUUUGUACAUUUUAUUUUUAUCUUGUUAUCAUCUAACUUGAUUUGUUUGUUUAUUACAAUAACCGUAACUUAAAACCUGCCAACGUCAUGUCAUGUCAAAUCUUAGACGAACAAAAUAAGGGGAAGGAUAAUGAUUGGAAGGGAGGCGAUGAGAAAUGAUUAGUUGAAGAUGAGGAAGAGUUUGAGAACCGGGAGAAGCCCAACCUAGAGGAAAUUGAAACAGUCAACCUCGAAGAUCCUGAUAAAAUCAAAGAAACAAAUGUCAGUGUCCACCUUAUGGAAGCAUAAAAGAGAGAGAUCAUUCACCUAUUGUGGGAAAAUAUUGACGUGUUUGCUUGGUCCUAUGAUGAUAUGCCGGGAUUGAGCACCAGUAUUGUAUCACAUAAGUUACCGAUAAAUCCAGAGUUUGAUCCAGUCAAGUAAAAAAUACGGAAAUUCAAGCCAGAUUUAAGUCUAAAGAUCAAGGAAGAAGUGACAAAAGAAAUCCAGUCUAAGGUUGUAGAGGUCACAAAAUAUCCGACGUGGCUAGCUAACAUCGUCCCAGUGCCGAAGAAAGAUGGCAAGAUUCGAAUUUGUGUUGACUAUAGAGACUUGAAUAGAGCCAGUCCUAAAGAUAAUUUUCCGUUGCCCAACAUCCACAUCCUCAUCGAUAACUGCGCAAAGCAUGAAAUGUAGUCAUUCAUUGAUUGUUUCAUCGGGUAUCAUCUGAUAUUGAUGGAUGAUGAAGAUGUAGAAAAGACGGUUUUUAUUACGCCCUGGGGUGUUUAUCAUUACAGGGUAAUUUCGUUUGGUCUAAUAAAUGCGGGUGCAACAUUUAUGAGGGCUAUGAAGACAAUUUUCCAAGAUAUGAUCCAUAAAGAGAUUGAGGUGUACGUGGAUGAUAUAAUUAUCAAAUCCCGUGAGAGUUCGGAUCAUCUGACUCAUCUGGAGAAAUUCUUCAAUAGAUUAAGAAAGUACAGUUUGAAGUUAAAUCCUGCUAAGUGUGCUUUUGGUGUGCUAUCAGGGAAGUUGUUAGGGUUUAUAGUCAACAGAAGAGGCAUUGAGCUAUACCCAUCAAAAAUUAAGACAAUUCAGGACUUACCAUUGCAGAGGACCAAGAAGGAAGUUAUGAGUUUCAUGGGUCGUUUGAAUUACAUUAGCAGGUUCAUCGCUCAGUCAACGGUCAUAUGCGAGCCAAUUCUCAAGAUGUUGAAGAAAAAUGCAUUGAAUGAGUGGACAGAAGAAUGACAGAGGACUUUUGACCGUAUCAAAGAAUAUUUGUCUGCACCGCCGGUUUUGGUUCCGCCAAGAGAAGGAAUUCUGUUAUUGCUUUACCUGUCAGUCUCAGAAAAUGCAUUUGGAUGUGCCCUCAGGAAACAUGAUGAGACCGGUAGGAAAGAGAAAGCCAUUUACUACUUGAGUAAAAAGUUUACACCAUAUGAAGCCCGUUACACUCUUGUAGAAAGGACAUGUUAUGCUUUGACUUGGGCCGCACAAAAGUUGAGGCAUUAUCUAUCUUCGUACACGAAAUACCUCAUCUCGAGAAUGGAUCCAUUGAAGUAUAUAUUCCUGAAGGCCAUGCCCACAGGAAAGCUAGACAAGUGGCAAAUGUUGCUGAGCAAGUUUGACAUCCUGUAUGUAACUCAAAAAGUAAUCAAGGGGCAAGCUUUGGCAGAUCAUUUGGCAGAGAAUCCAGUUGAUGAUGAAUAUGAACCACUUCGAACUUACUUCCCAGAUGAGGAAAUUCUAUUCGUGAGAGAAGACAUUACAGAAAUUUACCCUGGAUGGAGGUUAUUAUUUGAUGGAGCGGUCAACUUCAAAGGUUCAGGAAUCAGAGCAGUGUUGGUCUCAGAAAUGAGUCAACAUUAUCCAAUAACUGCUAAGUCAUGUUUCCCAUACACCAAUAACAUGGAAGAAUAUGAAGCUUGCAUCCUGGGUCUAAAAUUGGCACUUGAUAUGGGUGUUCGUAAAUUGCUAGUCGUCGGGGAUUCAAAUUUGCUGAUUCACCAAGAACGGGGAGAAUGGGCAGUAAAAAAUUCCAAGAUUACUCCUUAUGUUGAGCUGGUACAGGAAUUAUGUGGAAAAUUCAAAGAAGUUGAUUUCAGACAUAUCCUAAGGAUACAAAAUAAGUUUGUUGAUGCUUUGGAUACUAUAUCCUCCAUGAUUCGGCACUCAGAUCAGAGUUACAUUGAUCCUUUAGAAAUAAGCUUGAAGGAGCAACCUGCGCAUUGUGCACGUGUUGAAGAAGAGCCCGAUUGAAAGCAAUGGUACUAUGACAUUAAAAGGUAUUUAGAAUCUGGAAUAUAUCCUGAAGAGGCCAGCAACAACCAAAAGAAAACAAUCCGGCGUUUGGCAAAAAACUACUUUCCAAGUGGGGAAUUUCUUUUUAGGAGGAUGCCUGAUUUAGGAUUUUUAAGAUGCGUCGAUGCUGCGAAAACCAAUAAAUUGAUAAAAAAAAGUACACGCAGGAGUUUGCGGACCCCACAUAAAUGGGUUUGUCCUUACCAAAAAGAUCCUGAGAACCGGCUACUUCUGGAUGACUAUGGAGAAUGAUUGUAGUAAGUAUGUGCAGAGAUGUCCAAAAUGUCAGACACACGGAGAUUUGAUUCGAAUGCCUCCACACGAGCUUCAUGCAAUGAAUUCACCUUGGCCUUUCGUAGCUUGGGGCAUGGAUGUUAUCGGACCGAUAGAGCCAUCAUCAUCGAAUGGGCAUAGAUUUAUUUUGGUUGCCGUUGACUACUUCACUAAGUGGGUCGAAGCUACGUCAUACAGAGCUGUCACUAAGAAAGUGGUUGCAGAUUUCAUCAGGAAUAACUUGAUUUGGUGAUUUGGAGUGCUGGAAUCAAUCAUUACUGAUAAUGGGGUAAACUUGAACAGUCACUUGAUGAAAGAAAUUUGUGAUCAGUUCAAAAUCGUGCAUCGUAACUCAACUGUAUAUCGUCCACAGAUGAAUAGAGCCAUAGAAGCUGCCAAUAAGAACAUCAAGAAGAUCUUGAGAAAGAUAGUCAAAAAUGAUAGUUCAUGGCAUGAGAUGUUACCUUAUGCUUUACUAGGAUAUCGCACAACAGUUUGAACCUUCAUCGGGGCAACUCCUUAUUUUCUGGUUUAUGGGAAUGAAGCUGUGGUACCUGCUGAGGUUGAAAUACCUUACCUGAGGAUUAUUCAAUAAGUCGAACUAAGUAACGAAGAGUGGGUUCACGUUCGUUGUGAACAACUCAUAUUGAUUGAUGAAAAGAGAAUGGUUGCCAUGUGUCAUGGUCAGUUAUAUCAGCACAGGAUGAUUCGUUCUUUCAACAAAAAAGUGAGGGCUCGAACAUUUGAAGUUGGGCAAUUAGUUCUCAAACGCAUACUCCCUCACCAAGAAGAGUACAAGGGCAAGUUUGCUCCAAAUUGGCAAGGUCCAUACAUAGUUCGUAAGGUACUAUCUGGAGGUGCUCUAAUUUUGUCUGAGAUAGAUGGCCAUGAGUAGACCAAACCAAUCAAUUCUGAUGCGGUGAAAAGAUACUAUGUUUGAAGGGCAUUCUAGUUUUGUGGUUCUUAGUUUAUCUGUAAUCUCCGUGUAAUUAUGUGUUUUAUGAUAUGUAAUUACCUAGAACACCUUUCCCUUUAUGUACGAACAACGUUUGACCUGAAUUCCCAAAAAAGGGAUACAUAGGCGGCCUAUAUCGGCUUCGGUCAACCCCUUAGAAAAUUUAUCCUUUCCCUUUAUGUAUGAACUACGUGAUGACCUGAAUUCCCAAGAAAGGGAUACGUAGGCGGCCUAUGUCAGCUUUGGUCAACCCAUUAAUUUCUUUUGUAUAUCCCUAGCAUAGUCCUGAACUACGUUUGACCUGAUUUCUGCUUCAACGAGAUACGUAGGCGCCCCAACGGCUAGGUCAUAUAACCCCAGGAAAUGAAAACUGGGGUAGAAUUUUUGAGAAGGAAUCUCAAAAAUUAAUAAGAGAAGAUCAACAUCUAACAAAGAGAAUGAAGAUCAGCAAAGACUUCAGAUCUACUCAAGAUGAUAUCAUCUCAGACUACUUUAAACUGGGGCAGAAAUUUUGAAGGAGGCCUCAAAAUUUCAAUCAAAUACUGGAAUAUAUUUCAGAUUCCCUAGCACUAGAGGUCGAAUUUGAGAUUUAAGAAUAACCACCUGUGAUAAAGUCUAGGAAGACUGAAUCUCCAUCUUUGAUAAAACCUCUGGUAGAGAGCCUCGACAAUGCUGAAUCCCUAGCUAUCCUCCGUUAAACAUCAGACAUUAUCAGAAUCAAGAGAAAGAAGGUCGUUGAGCUAGCACAUGAAAUGACUAGCAGACAUUAAUUGGGAGGGAGAGUCAUGGGUAAAAGUACCAACAUGACGAAGUACCUGAAAGAUGGCAAGGGAAAAAUCAAGGAUCGAAGGAGGUCAACAUAGAGUAGUUUCAUUCAAACUAAUCAUUUUUUGUGGAUACAGGAAUUGAUACACAAAAAUGAGCGUUUCUCUCGAAAAAUCCCCAAGCAAUCCGGGAGCCAUGACAGAGCAUAUAAUGCUUAAUAACGGUACUUUUGAUAGCCCAAAAAUGGGCUCAACACCCAUUUAUCGAUGACCUUUCGAAUUGUCCAUCUCAUUUCUUAAGAUCUUAGAGGAAAAACAAAAGUGUCUUGUCUUCUUUGCAAAUAUUUUAUUCAGAAUUUUUCUAAAAAAUGGUCGCUAGAAAAAGUGACUUUGUGUCUAAUAAUCGUCUACCUUGAGUACAGGUACAUGUAGAAAUCAAGACAUUGACAAACGAAUUCAGGUGAAACUAUUUUUAAACAACCGGAAGGACCAUUGCAUAUCAUUGCCGAGAGGGUCAUUGUAUAUCAAUGCCUAGAGGGCCAUUGCAUGUCAUUACCAAGAGGGCCAUUGCAUAUCAUUGCCGAGAGGGCCAUUGCAUAUCAUUGCCAAGAGGGCCAUUGCAUAUCAUUGCCAAGAGGGCCAUUGCAUAUCAUCAUCAUUUAAUAUCUGUUGACGCGCUAGACAGAAACACUGGCGUCGAGGGUAUCAUCAUCAUUCAAUAUCUGUUGACAUGUUAGACAGAAACAUUGGCUUUGAGGAUAUCAUCAUCAUUCAAUAUCUGUUGACGCACUAGACACAACACUGGCAUCACGGAUAUCAUCAGCAUUCAAUAUAUCUGUUGACAUGCAAGACACAACGCCGGCAUUGAGGAUAUCAUCAUCAUUCAAUAUCUGUUGAUGCGCUAGACAUAAUGCUGGUGUCGAGGAUAUCAUCAACAUUCAAUAUAUUUGUUGACACGCAAGACACAACGUUCGCGUCGAGGAUAUCAUCAUCAUCAUCAUUUUAUAUCUGUUGACACACAAGACAUAAAUGCUAGCGCCAAGGAUAUCUCAUUAUUUUAUGAAUCAGUAUUUGAAUACAUCGAGAGCACACGAUUUGAAGGAACGCCUUUAAAUCGCUAUCUAAGGAUGAAUGAUAUAUAAGAUUUCCUAGAAAUUGACAAUUUGAGGGUCAUCUAUAAGUCAUAUUAUUUUAAAUAGGAUAGUGUCCAAGAUCAACUAUGAGUUCAUAGCCUAUAGGUCAUCCGUAAGCCACAACAACAUCCUAACCGGAUAGUGUGCAAGAUCGCCCAAAAAUUGAUAGUUCAAAGGUUAUCCAUAAGUUGCAACUAAAUCCCUACCGGAGAAUAUGCAAGAUUAUCAAAUUGAUACGUCCAAGGGUUCUCUAUAAGCCGCGUCAUAUCAAAGAUCGAUUAUGUGCAGGAUUACCCAAAGACUAACAAUUUGAGAGAUUAUCUAUAAAUCAUAUUGUAUCUAAGGUCGGAUGAUGUGCAGGAACCCCUGAAAGCUAGCGAUUGGAGGGAUAUCUGUAAGCCAUCUCUUAUCCAAAGUCGGAUAAUGUGCAGGAUUACCUAAAAGCUAGAAAUUCAAAGGAUAUCUGUAAGUCUCCUCGUAUCCAAUAUCAAAUAAUGUGCAAGAUUAUCCAAAGAUUGAUAAUUUAAAGGAAAUUUAUAAAUCGAUCAUCGUCAAUAACCAAAAAAGUUAUCCUUCCACAUAUAACAAGAAUUAUAGGUGACCGAAGAAGUUACCACAUCUACACAAUAUUACACGGUUGCAAGGACCGUUCUUCAUAAAAUAUCAUCGAUGUCUGAAGGGCCACCCCGCUUUGAAGAUAUAUUGAACCGACAAAUAUCAUAAUUAUACAAUAACCAAGAAUGUUGUUGUGCCUAUUAUUGCAAGUUAUUUCCUUCCAAAUAGGUAUAAGAAAGGAUGACUUCUCUUUUUAGACAACAACUCAUGCGGAGAUAUGAUAAAAUACUAUUUACCUCUUUCGUGAGUUAUGCUUAUCACUAAUGAUUUUUGUUUGAGAUAUUGUCGAGAGCAUCCGAGAGGAUAAAAAUAUCAAACCAAAACCAUAGGUGCGGAUAACUCCAAAAAGGACGCAGCACAACGUGGAACUCUUUCUUUGCAGUAAAACGGGACAUAGUUUAGAGAAGGACGUCAAACUCUCUCGACGCAAGCUAAAGGAUGAUCACCACCACCAUCUAACCACACCCAUUUUAGAAGGCAUGUGGGUAUUUUGGGAUAUUCUGGUUUCAGCUUCACCUCCGGGAUAUUUUCUUCACUCAUACCGAGGGUAACCUUCUCUUUCUUUUAAAUUCGGGUGACAACAUACUUAGAGUUUUGGAAAUUAUUUCCAGGUAAGUUCUUAUCUAUGGGUGUGAAGGAUCCCACAUUCAUGAUUAAGAGGUUACAAGCCUCUUUUCCGCAACUCAGUCAACUUGUCACUCAUCCUGAUCCAAAGAUUGUCUGAAAAUAGAAGACUAUCUUUUCUACCGAUAAAGUCGAACUACAAGCAGUCUGAUUCCUUGAGUCUCAGGGAUAUGCAGGCUGGACUCUAUGUAGAAAACUCGACUGUAUUCCAACCUCCCUCCAAAUCCCUCUAUUCCCCAGCUUUUUGGUUUUAUCAAAAACUUUAAAACCGAGAUAGCUUGUGAAAUUUUCUUGAAAAUCGUGCUUGCAAUCAAGCUUUAUGAACUACAAGUGGCCUGAAUUCUCAUAUAACCUGAGAUAUGUAGGAAACCUGAAACCGAGGCCCUGGCAUAACUCCAUGAAACUCAUAUGAAAAUCAACCUCUUUCAGAAACGAAUUUAUGGUCGUAAGAAAUUAGGAACGUCAACCUCCCUUUGCUAAGGGUUACUUGCAUCCACUCUACCCAAAGGGAGGGGGCAGUUGUUGACACCUAAUUUUUGCCCUCUGCAAUCCAAUUUAACUUCGAGUUUCUUUAAUUUUAAAACAAAAUCACAAUAAUUAUUUUGCUCAAAUAAAUGCUGAUUGAAGUAUUUAUUCAAGGUAAUUUUAUCAUUUAAUUAACUAUUAUAUAUUUUUCGUAUUUUUUAUAUGAGUGUGUAUAAAUUUUGUUAUUUGAAUGAACAUUUUAUCAAAAUUAAAUUUUUUAUUGAUUAAACUUGAAAAUGAAUUCAAAUAGAUAAAAUCUUGGUUUUAAAUAUGAUUUACUCUCAAAAUAUUUUAUUUGGAGGAAUAUUUAUUGAAUUUUUUUAUCAAAUUAAGAAACUCGAGGUUAAUUUGUUAGUUGAUUCAUGCCAGAUUGCGAUUCAAUUUAGCGAACGAAUUAAAUGCGACCUCAAUUGAAAUCAAAUUGGCCCCAAUUGUAAUGUAAUUGAUCAAUAGAUAUUCAAUUUGGUUAUAAUUUAAAUAGGUCGUUUAAAUUGUAAUUCAAUCUUAAUCCCCAAAGUUACCAUUUCUUAAUUGAGAUUUUUUUAAUUCGAUUAAAUUUAAUUAGAGUUAUUUUUAAUCCAAUUAAAUUUAAUUAGGGUUAUUUAAUAACCCAAUUAAAUUUAAUUGGGGUUAUUAAAUAACACCAAUUUCAGCCCUUUUCUUAUCUUUAAUCACAAAAACCCAACAAUAAUCAACCCAACAGCCCAUUUAAUUUUAGUUUUUCUAGCCCACUACCCCUUUGCCUGACUCGGGCCCAAUUCAGCUUCUUCUCUAAAUCAGUAAGAACAAUCCUCCACCAAGUACAACCUCAGCCAAAUCACGACAACCUCCUCCAUCGAUAAUCAACUCCAAAUGACCCUAACCCGUAUUCCUCGAAAUCCGAUGAGUCAUCUUCUCAACGUAGACCCGAGCUCCAACCUGCCUAUUUCUUUUGCGUCACAUGGCUCUCACGCGAGGAGGUGUGAAGAAAACUUGAGAACCCUUUAGAAACAUGCUUAGGUGUCCCCCUCUAAUGGAUACCUCCGUGAAUCGCGUCUUACUUGUACAAAUUCGUACAUAUUUGGCGAUUUUUCAUUGGGUAUGGGGGAGAAUUCAUUUCUCCCCAAUUCUAUUGGUCCAUCAUAUCCAAAAAUUGGUAUGAAUUGAGACGAAAAUGGGAUAUGGGGGGAUAUUUUCAGAUUUAAAAUUCAAAAUAACUUUUUUCAAAGCCGAAAAAGGACCCUUAAUUUGUCUUCUAUAUAUAGACCCCUUGGGUCACUAUUUUGGGGGAUUUUUUUGGGGGAUUCUUGGCUCAAAGGUUCUAAGUUUGGGGCUAGAAAUUUUGCAGAAGUUUUUUUUGUGGGUUCGAAUGAUUCGAAAAUUGGGAGACGGGGGAUUCAGAAAAAGCUAAGGGAGAGAAAACUUUCUUUGAGGAAAAACUCAGUAAAACCUUUAAUUUUCUAGUAGGUUUUUGAAGUCGUCGAUUGAUCGAAACUCUAGAGAGGUCGAUUUUCAGUGGUGUUAGAAUCCGAUAUUAGCUCGAAAGUCUCAUUUUGCUGCCACGAAAUAGGUGACACUCCGUUUCUUUUAUCUUUUGAAUGUUUUUUACUUUAUCUCCACUUCUGUAGUCGUAUGAAUGCUUUGUUAUGAGUAUUGUGUGCUGGUAUUGUGUGCUGUAGAGGUCUUGUAAGACCAUAGGAUACGUUGGAUGAAGAUAAUGUUUGUCGUAUGAUUAUGUUUGACGAUUAAACUCUUAGUUUAGUUUUUAAAACUUUCGAUUUCAGUCUCACUUGCUUGCCUCGAUUUUAUAAUGGGUUAGCUGAUUUUGACAUAGCCAAUUAGCUUCCAAUUUGCUGCUUUGUAUUGUAUAUUGCUUCUAAGUGUGACUUAUAAGUUCGAUAGAGAUUCCUAUUUCAAUUUCUUGCUUCACCGGCUUGCUGAAUGUUUGUUUUGUUGGAGUAGCCGCCCUUCUGUUUAGCUGGUGAUAUCACUAGCAAGACCACUUUUGUGAGUUUCUUUGGCUUCUCAAAUGUCAAAGAGAAUGACCAAAAUGUGUCCAACAAUGAAAGGUCGCCAAGAGAUCCUAGAAUCUCCUCGACGGCCAUUUCAUUUGAGUCUAUCGAAAUAAGGAGGAGAACAAAAGAUACCGUAUCUCAUUAGCUCCUUUCUUUAGUUUAUUGAUUGUGUUUCCUUUUUUUAGUAAAAUUUUGAAGAUUGAUUCUUUUCUUUGGAUUCAUUUCAAGCCAAUAGUCCUGUUUGUUUGAAGUCCAUGAAAGAAUAAAAUGGCUUUGUUGAAGAAUAUUAUACAUGACAAUGGAUUUGGUCUUGUCGAUGUCCAAAAUCAUUGCUAUGUGUGUAUUCUCCCUCAAGGAUGGCUCGAUAUUUCUUUUAGUUAUUAAUUUCAAGGUCUAAAACUCUUGAGGUUUUGUAAGACCAUAGUUGGAGAAUAGCCGUAUUCGACUCUCAAGACUGCUGUUUUGAAUAAUGGAAAUUCGGGAGACUGCUUUGCACUAUCGCGACUUUAAGUAGUUUGAGGUUUAUUUGGAGUAAAAGAGGAACUUCUGGGGGUUUUGUUUUUCUUGAAUUUUUUAUUAUCUAUUUUGAGGCAUUUGUUGUAUAAUUUAACGCGACUCACGAGGUAUUUUUAAUUCGAUGAUAUUAAAAGAGACCUAGGAGUUUGCCAUAGAGCUGUGAUAACAAUCCAGGGAAUCUCUAAUAAACCUUGGUUUACAUUCUUGCACUAUUUGGCAAGGAGAGGAGGAUCUGUUUAAGGUUGUUAGCCUAAUUGAAUGAUAUUUGGAUCAGUGCAUGGAUUGUUUCCCGCCACUUGGCUAGGUUUAAAGGACUUAUUCAACUGACCAUGGUUUUCAGAUUGCGUUGCCCCCCCCUUCUUUGACUCUAUUUGUUUUCCUUUAGAGUGUGUCAUUAUUUCUGCCUCCAUAUUUCAUUCUCGCUUUUCCUUGCUUUCUUUUCUGGUUGGGGUUUUCUACAAUAUGUGUGGAAGUAGGCUUCGGGUAGGGUAAAGUUUCUGCAUGACUUAAUGAAUCUAUGUGAACAUAAAAGCUCGAUACGACUAAUAGAAUUAUCAUUUACGUUUGAAUUAAUCUGAAUAAUUAUACAUUACUUUACUGAACAAUUAUGAUGGGUACAGUAUGCUAUAACUUAGAGUUGAGUAGUUUAUGCUUCGUGUACAAUCCCGCAUUUUAAGAUUAACCUGUAUUCCAUCUGUCUAUUCGUAACUUCGAUGAUCGUUGAUGAUAUCUCUGAAAAAGGAUAGAUAGAACACUCUCAGAAUUUAAACCCCGAAACCCUUUCCCAGUGCUUUUUCCUGAAUAUGAUAAUGGGUGCUAAAUCCUCUUAUGUAUUCUGUGGGACCACCUUGAGCAUGAAGUAUAAUCCUUCUGAUUGCUAUUUGUGGUUUAUUAUGAUGAAUGAUCAGUUACACUAAGUUUAAAGGUCUAAUGUAGUGCCUUAACCCUUUUCUCUUUAUUUUGAUGCAUGGGGAUUCGUUGGAGUCCAAACGGACUCUUUGCAUUCCCUAAUGGGCCAAUAAGAACCAUCCAUUAAGUUGAGCUCGGAAGAGAGUAUAAGAUAGCAUAGCAUAUAGCAUACGAAUGCGAGUUGUUGAAGGAAGAAGAAAGUAGAUCAGAGUUUCAUCUUUGAAGCAGCUAUGAGAUUCGAAAGUCUCAUUUAUUAUUUUGUCCAUUUACUUAUUGUUGUAUUUAUUUAUUUAUUGAUUGAUUUUCUUAUUUACUUAUUUGGGCCUCGAAGCCAAAGUUGUACUUAAUACAGGUGAAGCAGGACUCGAGCUAAAGGCUCGAAAACAUAGAAUUAGGACAGGUGAAAAUGGGUCGACAACCUAACUAGAUUAGGACAGGGUCGACGGUUUGAGCUUAAAAGCCUAAAUCACUACUUCUCCAUUUUUCCCCUUUUCCUUUUAUUUACUUGUUUGCUUGUCUCUUUGCGAACCUAGUUAAAUCCCUAACUAAGUCGCUAAAAAACUGAUUUUGCGAAAACCUUUUCCUUAACCAAUUACUUUUUCAACAAAUCAAUCUUCCAAAGUUAGUCAAAAGAUGUUUUCAAACAGUCCGGAUAACUGCAAGUUAGCGGACGUUUUAGGUGCCUUACACCUUCCUAAAACGUUAAUAGAAAUCACUUACUCGGAAUCUUCAAAAUUUAAAACGAUUUUUCUAUUUUGAAUCGUUUGAAAUCUCUCUCUAAAGGUUUCUUAAUUCCUUUUCAAAAUUAAGUGGUGACUCUCAAAAAUCAAAAUUUUCGCAAAACAACCAGUACAGUUGAAACAAAGAUAAUCCUCGAUUUGAUAGUCACCAAUACAAGCUUCUAAAUAUAAAAAUGAAAGAAGUUUUGAGUAUUUCAAAAUGCGAAAAGCUUAUAAAAUAAGGGUGAAGGAGAUUUCAGUAGUCUCUGAAAUCAAUAGCAGCUACCUCGAAUUUCUAAAGAUGCUAACACAGAAGAAACCAUAGGAAUCAAUAACAGAGGUCGUCGGAUUUGUAUCUGCACAUAAAAUAUAGAAAAGUAAGGGUGAGUACGAAAUCACAUGUACUCAACAAGCAUCGUUGACCGACUCUAACUCAAAGUGGUGACGAGUAACACCACGUCAACCCUCAAAAACAACGAGACAACCUGCACUCAUGAACUUGUUAAAACGAUAUUUAUAAACUUGAGAUCAUGAUUAAUAAUUAUGUUUACCGCAAUAAAACAGAUAUCAAUAGCCUACUGGAUUAUCUGUGUGAAAAUGAUACAUGUUCAUAGAUCGAGAGUUUAGAAGAAAUUGUGGAUAUAAUCAGAGAAAACGAUGUUGAUGAUGAAGCUGAAGACGAUACAAUAUUUUUGGAACUAGUUACUCGUAAGGAAGCACUUAUCGCAUCUAGAACUCUUCGCAAUUUUUUUGUGCAAUUUGAAAAGACAUCACCAAAAUAUUUGGAUGCAAUAAGAAAAGUUAGAGAGGAGCUUCAAGUAGAUUUAAAUUUUAACCAAAAAAAAUUACUAGAAUCAUAUUUCACUAAAUUGUCUUAGAUAUUUUUGUAAUUUUAAAGAAUUAUUAAUUUAUAAUAAUAAUAAUAAUGAAACCAUAUAUUUAUAUAGGGGUCUUUCAAAAAUAUAUUAACUAAAUAUC